rnacentral:tRNA from 1 species
GGGAAGGUGGCUCAGUGGUAGAGUGCUUGCCUUGCAUGCAUGAGACCCUGGGUUCGAUUCCCCAUCACA